rnacentral:rRNA from 1 species
UACGGAAGGUCCGGGCGUUAUCCGGAUUUAUUGGGUUUAAAGGGAGCGUAGGCCGGAGAUUAAGCGUGUUGUGAAAUGUAGACGCUCAACGUCUGCACUGCAGCGCGAACUGGUUUCCUUGAGUACGCACAAAGUGGGCGGAAUUCGUGGUGUAGCGGUGAAAUGCUUAGAUAUCACGAAGAACUCCGAUUGCGAAGGCAGCUCACUGGAGCGCAACUGACGCUGAAGCUCGAAAGUGCGGGUAUCGAACAGGAUUAGAAACCCCAGUAGUCCUGACUACU